rnacentral:tRNA from 1 species
AAACUUAGGCUAAUACA